GAUGAACGCUGGCGGCGUGCUUAACACAUGCAAGUCGAACGGGAAUUAUUUUAUUGAAACUUCGGUCGAUUUAAUUUAAUUCUAGUGGCGGACGGGUGAGUAACGCGUGGGUAACCUGCCUUAUACAGGGGGAUAACAGUCAGAAAUGGCUGCUAAUACCGCAUAAGCGCACAGAGCUGCAUGGCUCAGUGUGAAAAACUCCGGUGGUAUAAGAUGGACCCGCGUUGGAUUAGCUUGUUGGCAGGGUAACGGCCUACCAGGGCGACGAUCCAUAGCCGGCCUGAGAGGGUGAACGGCCACAUUGGGACUGAGACACGGCCCAGACUCCUACGGGAGGCAGCAGUGGGGAAUAUUGCACAAUGGGGGAAACCCUAAUGCAGCGACGCCGCGUGAAGGAAGAAGUAUCUCGGUAUGUAAACUUCUAUCAGCAGGGAAGAUAGUGACGGUACCUGACGAAGAAGCCCCGGCUAACUACGUG
rnacentral:rRNA from 1 species